rnacentral:rRNA from 1 species
CAAUAGCGUAUAUUAAAGUUGUUGCAGUUAAAAAGCUCGUAGUUGGAUUUCUGGUGGGAGCGAUCGGUCUGGCGCUUAGCGCGAGUACUUGCAUCGUCUCCGGCCAUCCUUGGGGAAAGUCUGUCUGGCAUUAAGUUGUCGGGCAGAGGAUCCUCAUCGUUUACUGUGAAAAAAUUAGAGUGUUCAAAGCAGGCUUAUGCCGUUGAAUAUAUUAGCAUGGAAUAAUAAGAUAGGACUUUGGUACUAUUUUGUUGGUUUGCGCACCAAAGUAAUGAUUAAUAGGGACAGUUGGGGGUAUUCGUAUUCCGUUGUCAGAGGUGAAAUUCUUGGAUUUACGGAAGACGAACUACCGCGAAAGCAUUUACCAAGGAUGUUUUCAUUAA